GGAGGCUCCACCCACCUCUAUGCACUUACUGAGCAUGCUCGGGUUGGAGGCCGGGUUUAAAAGCCAGCCAGGUAGCUCAAUCAGAAGCCGGCAAGCCAGGGAGGAGGAUGUUCCCUGGGAGCUCCAGGGAAGGACUACAGCUGAGUCUGCAUCGAGCCGACUACAUCCAGUGACAGCAAGCUCUGAAGGUGACACCUCCCUCAGAGGCAGGCGGUGGCCAGAAUUUAGGAACGUAGGAAUUCCCAGACUGGGUCAGAUCUGAGGUCCCUCCAGUCUCCCGGUCUCUGACAGUGGCCAGUACCAGCUGCCACAGGGGAAGAACCCACGAACUGGAAUGGAAAUAAGGAUAUUCGUUGUCAUUCACACCUUGCUGCAAGUCUGCCUGGGGACCCUUUUAUUGAGGACUACGAAGGACCUCCUUGAAUUUCACUUAAAUCGAGACUUCACCUUCUUGUUCCUAAGCUUUGAGAGCCCUACAGUGGCUGUUUAGCUAGUUAUCCGCUGACAUCGAUGGGAGAGGUGACGUGAGAGGAAGUAAAGGC